rnacentral:rRNA from 1 species
GACGAACGCUGGCGGCGUGCUUAACACAUGCAAGUCGAACGGAAAGGCCCUGCUUUUGUGGGGUGCUCGAGUGGCGAACGGGUGAGUAACACGUGAGUAACCUGCCCUUGACUUUGGGAUAACUUCAGGAAACUGGGGCUAAUACCGGAUAGGAGCUCCUGCUGCAUGGUGGGGGUUGGAAAGUUUCGGCGGUUGGGGAUGGACUCGCGGCUUAUCAGCUUGUUGGUGGGGUAGUGGCUUACCAAGGCUUUGACGGGUAGCCGGCCUGAGAGGGUGACCGGCCCCAUUGGGACUGAGGUACGGCCCAGACUCCUACGGGAGGCAGCAGUGGGGAAUAUUGCCCAAUGGGCGGAAGCCUGAUGCAGCAACGCCGCGUGCGGGAUGACGGCCUUCGGGUUGUAAACCGCUUUCGCCUGUGACGAAGCGUGAGUGACGGUAAUGGGUAAAGAAGCACCGGCUAACUACGUG